rnacentral:rRNA from 1 species
CGAGCGCACUCUUCGGAGUGAGCGGCAGACGGGUGAGUAACACGUGGGAAUCUACCCAUCUCUACGGAACAACUCCGGGAAACUGGAGCUAAUACCGUAUACGUCCUUCGGGANAAAGAUUUAUCGGAGAUGGAUGAGCCCGCGUUGGAUUANCUAGUUGGUGGGGUAAAUGCCUACCAAGGCGACNAUCCAUAGCUGGUCUGAGAGGAUGAUCANCCACNCUGGGACUGAGACACNGCCCANACUCCUACGGGAGGCAGCNGUGGGGAAUAUUGGACAAUGGGCGCAAGCCUGAUCCAGCCAUGCCGCGUGAGUGAUGAAGGCCCUAGGGUUGUAAAGCUCUUUCACCGGUGAAGAUAAUGACGGUAACCGGANAAGAANCCCCGGCUAACUUCGUGCCAGCNGCCGCGGUNAUACGAAGGGGGCUAGCGUUGUUCGGAAUUACUGGGCGUAAAGCGCACGUAGGNGGAUCGUUANGUGAGGGGUGAAAUCCCNGGNCUCAACCCUGGAACUGCCUCUCAUACUGGCGAUCUCGAGUUCGAGAGAGGUGAGUGGAAUUGCGAGUGUAGAGGUGAAAUUCGUAGAUNUUCNCAGGAACACCNGUGGCGAAGGCGGCUCACUGGCUCGAUACUGACGCUGAGGUG